GAAAGAGAUGACAACUUCUGAUAUCAAGGUUCUUUUAAAAGGUUUCAGCAGAAAUCCUUCAACCGUCACAGAUCACCAGCCAUGUCAGGGCUCAAUGACUCCGGGUAACCUGAAGAGGAUGGUCCUGCUGACCCACAUCCCCAUCUUGCUGGGUCCUGAAACCAGCAGGGAAGUGGCUGCAGGAAGGAACCUGAGUAGUGGGGGCUUUUAUGUUCCUGUCACGUGAGGGACUUGGACGGGACUGCAGCCAUACGAUCACGUCCUUCAGCAGCCCGACUGAAUGUCUCCUCUCCUUUUCUCCCUCUGCCCUCCCUUGCUCUCCACCGCCUGUAUGGCUGCACAAAUAAAAGGGCCACUCUUCCGGCACCAUGCAAUGCUAACACUGAGCUCCUUUCUCGCCUGCACUGAUUGGGCCUGACUGCAAUUUCUGUCCGACCAGAGCCCUUCCUCCCUUCCCUAUCCAGGUUGACACUUCACCUCCUUUGUGGGGAGAGACCUCCCUGGAGGGGCUGCCUGACAACAUGAAGACAACAGCCACAGUAAGAAUCACAGACGGUGUUAACGUGGGCCAUGUACAGUGUUUCUGGAGAGCAUCUGACUCUGAGACUAAGCCCUGUGAUCCUCUGCAUGCUGCUGAGAUUGGUCAUGGCUGGUCCAGCCUCUUUUAGGUUCCAUGAGCUGAGAUGCAUCAAGGCUGCCUCCGGGGGAGAGAGGGCGCAGCACAUCCUAGUUAGGCGAGAGGGUGCAGCACAUCCUAGUUAGGUGUUAGCAGAGGGCCCUGUCCUUGGCCUAUCCGACCCCCAGUGAGAUUCCCACAUAUUUGUUCGCUCAAUAAAUGUUAUCUACCGUAUCAGACAAGAAGUUACUAAAAGUUAAAAAAAUACUACUGCAUUAAUCCUAACAGCCAAGAUGUGGAAGCAACCUAAGCGUCCAUCGAUGGAUGAAUGGAUAAAGAGGGUGUGAUAUAUACACAUGAUGGAAUGUUAUUCACCAUAGAAAAGCAGGGAAUCCUGCCAUUUUGACAAAGUGUUUGGACUCUGAAGGCUUUACGCUAAGGGGGAGAAGUCAGAGACAAAUAACGUAUGGUCCCACAGGUGCAAUCAAAAAUCAAAACACAAACUCAGAAAAAGAGGUAAGGUUUGUAGUUAUCACAGGCUGGGGCGGCGGGAGGGGAAUUGGAGGAAGGUGGUCAAAGGCACAAACUUCCAGUUCUAAGAUGAGUUAAGUCCUGGGGUGACUGCAGUGAACACGGCUGUAGGAUAUGCAGGGAAGCUGUUAAGCAAGUAAAUCCUAUGAGCUCUCAUUUCACGGAAAAAACAUUUUUCUCUUUUUCAAGAACUGUAUGAGAUGAUGGAUGUUAACUCGUUGUCAUCGUUAUCUCACAGUCUGAGAGUCAGGUCACUGUGCUGCACACAGUGCUGCCAGUCACUUGUAUCUCAAUGAAACCGGGGAAAAAAAACAGAGUUGAACCUGCAGACUUCAUCUCUUUGGAUCAGGAAAUGGACUCUCAUCUAACCAAGCCGCACUCUCAGUGCCAUCCUUCAAACUUAGU